CCAUGAAGCUGGAUUCGCUAGUAAUCGCGCAUCAGCCACGGCGCGGUGAAUACGUUCCCGGGCCUUGUACACACCGCCCGUCAAGCCAUGGAAGCCGGGAGUGCCUGAAGUACGCGACCGCAAGGAGCGUCCUAAGGUAAAACCGGUGACUGGGGCUAAGUCGUAACAAGGUAGC
rnacentral:rRNA from 1 species